UGGAUAGUGAGCAAGGCUUAGCUAGCGCAUCCCUUGUAAGCGACACACUGCUUUGUUGCUGGUUGUGGUGACAAGUGGGCAAGGGUUCUUGCACCAUGGACAAGUGCAAGUAAAGAAACUAAUCCAAAAGCGUAGGAUUAGAUUAGCUUCUUGGAAAAUGGGAACUUUAAUGGGAAGGAUUUUGAAUUGAUAGAUAUAGUGAGAAGAAGAAUUAAGAUAGCUUGUAUAAAUUAGACUAGAUAGAAGGGUAAAAAGGCUAAGGAAUUAGAUCAUUAUAAACUUUGGUAUACUGGGGAUCAAAAUAAUAAAAGUGGGGUGAGAAUAGUAGUAGAUGAAUAUUUUAAAAAUGAUGUUCUAUAUGUUAAAAGAAUUGGUGAUAGGAUAAUAUCCAUCAAACUUGUGUUAGGAAAAGAGGUAAUCAAUAUAAUUAGUGCUUAUGCACUACAAAUCGGAUUAGAGCAAAAUACUAGAAACAAUUUUGGGAACACAUGGAUAGAUUAGUUCAAGGAAUUAGUCAAGGAGAAAAGAUUAUUAUAGGGGGAGAUUUAAAUGGAUGUGUUGGAAGAGAUAGUAGACGUUAUGAAAUAAUUCAUAGAGAAUAUGGUUUAUGAGAUAGGAAUGAGGAGGGAACUUUAGUUUCAGAAUUUGUUGUGGCUUAUGAUUUAUCAAUAAUCGGCACAUGCUUUUAAAAGAGAGCAUAUUUAAUAACCUUCAAAAUUCGGUAAAAUAGGCUUCUUUCUAACUAGAAGGUUGAUAGGUUAUUAUGUAAAGAUUGUAAGGUUGUACCAAGGGAGAGCUUAACCACGCAACAUAGGUUAAUGGUCAUGGAUAUGUGUUUUAAAAUGCUCAAUUUUAAAAAAUGUUAGAUUAUUUGUCCUAGGAUAAGCUGGUAGAACUUAAAAGGAGAAAACUUGAAGACAUUUACUGAUAAAUUAGUAACACAUGAAAGGUGGGAUUUCAAUGGAGACUAAUAUGAUGUGGAACAAGAUGGCUACUUAUAUU